rnacentral:lncRNA from 1 species
UACAGGGUUCACAUUAGAUUAUUGUACUAUUCAAGAGGAACAACUCCAAAACACAUGGAUGAAGGUGGAUUCAUGAAUUUAAACAAGGCAAUGCUUCAACCAAUGAAUGUACAAGCAACACACAUUUGUGAUUAUGAUCAGUUGGGCCUACAGAAAGAUUGUGUUUUUGCUUGCCAAAGCUAUUGCUUGGUUCAAUUAAUGACGAAACCCGAAAAAACGAGAAUGUUUCCCUAAAAAUAAACAAAUCCUUUCAGACUAAAUUCCUUGUGGAUGAUUUCAUGAGCUUCUUGAGUUACCUAAUGUACAGUCAUGUGCAGUGAAGGCCCAAACAACCCAUUGCCAGGUCCUUGUUGUUGUCUGUGCUGUCAUAAAACUCCUGUAAGGCUCUUUUUUUUUUUUUUGAAACGGAGGCAUAAGCUUUGCCUCAUCCAUUAAUUAAGAAGGAGAAUAGAGUUUGUUUGUUACACCACACAUAUUACAUGAGGUCCAUUACUCUCCCGGCAUUAUGCUACCCAAUUUGUGUGCACCCGCAGUAACCCAAAGUCUAGCUUCUCUUUUGAUGGUGUCGAAGAUGACCGGCGCAGGUGUUGACUUGUGCCUGAAUAUACGAGCGUUUCUCUCAUUCCAAAUGGUCCACCCAACUAGCAUAGUGAGGGAUGCCAUGGCCUUUCUAUUGGGGAUGUUGCUUCCAGACAUGUUUCUCCACCAAAGCGAGAGAGAGUGCAAAUUGUCCCAAGUUGACAUGUCAAUCAUAUGGAGACCAAGCCAAUUUUUGAUGAGGUUCCAAAUCCUAAGGGUGAAGCGACACUUGUAGAAAAGAUGGGCUCCAUUUUCUUGCACACGCUGGCAAAGCGGACACAGUCCACAAUUUUGCCAACCCCUCCUAGCGAGUCUGUCAGCCGUCCAAAUCAUAUUACGGGUUGCAAGCCAAGCAAAGAAUUUCACCUUCGGCGGAGCCCAAGCGCCCCAAAUGUAGCAGUGGAAGGUGGUGCCCAUAGAUCCAAUGAAUUGUAACUCCUGUAAGGCUGGAACACAUGAAGAAAAAGAGCCAUCCUGAACACCAGAUGCAGCAUUAUUUUUAUCAG